rnacentral:lncRNA from 1 species
CAUGUCCACAUUGUUGCAUCCGCUUCACCAACUGCUGCAGGCCAAUACAAAGUGGAAUUGGUCCCCACAAUGCGAAGAAGCAUUCAAGACUUGCAACCAGCGUCUGCUAAAGAGCAAGUGGCUUGCCCACUAUAACACAGAGAUGAAGCUGAGACUCGCGUGUGAUGCAUCACAUGUUCUACCGUCAGGUGAAGAACACCCUAUUGCAUUUGCAUCACGGACUCUGUCACCAAGUGAGAAAAAUUAUGCUCAAAUUGAGAAGGAAGCCCUGAGCAUAAUAUUCGGAGUGAAGAAGUUUCACAAAUACCUCUAUGGAAGGAAGUUCCAACUGCUGACAGAUCACAAGCCUCUGUUGGCCAUCCUUGGACCAAAAUCAGCUAUACCAACCCUUGCUGCACUUCGAAUGCAACGUAGGGCUCUGAUAUUGUUAGCCUACGACUACGAGAUUGAGUACAGACAAUCCAGAGAUCACGCAAAUGCCGAUGCACUAUCAAGACUACCAUGCAAUAGUGACUCCGACAGUGAAGAUGAUAGAGCAGUCUUCCAGAUCUCUCUCAUUGAUGAACUGCCCAUAUCUGCUUCUGACAUAGCAGAGGAAACAAGGAAAGACCCAGUGCUUUCCAAAGUCUUGGACUUAACAUCAGGCGGUUGGCCAACCUUCGUAAAUGACGAUAACCUUUGUCCAUUCAUCGACAAGAAAGACCAGUUGUCCACUGAUCAAGGGUGUGUUCUGUGGGGAUCAAGGGUGGUGGUACCUCACAAAUUCAAAGAGGAAGAGAGGGUGAUGGUACGUGAUUUCAGACACCCUAAGCGCCUGUGGAACUCAGGUGUGAUCUUGCAACGCAGAGGACCUUUAACUUACCAAGUCCAAAUUGGUCACCGCCAAAUGUGGAUCAUCUGCUACGGUCCAACGCCCCAGCAGAGACAUGCCAAGAGAACAAGAACAAUAACGACCCCCAGGACUAUUCUCUUGACUGUCGACGUACGGGAGGGACAGAGCCUGACCUUCCACCCGAACCUGGCCCACCACAGGAAGCCCAGGAGGAGCGGAGAUAUCCUAUUCGACAGCGAAGGGCACCUCAAAAGCUUGACCUGUGAGUUGAGCUGGUUAAGGAGGUAACAGACAGUAAAACAAACACUUGAAUAUGUCCUAGAUAAAAGGAAAGAAAAAGGACAUUACCUGGGUUAGUUAUUAGGACACAAACUCCAUCUUUGGGGCAGAAUAAUCCCCUGGAUUUGUGCUGGGCUAUGAAAAGUCUGCUUCAACCCAGUAGUUGAAAAAUGUUUAAGAAUGCAUUGUGCAGAUAUUGCAUUAGUAGUUACCUAACAUAUUUACCAUGUUCUCUGGGAGUUAAACACUAUGGGGGAGGAGUGUAUUUUGUACAUAAAUAAGCUGCACAUGU